UGCCCCUGACCGGAAUCAAACCUGGGACCCUUGCGUCCGCAGGCCGAUGCUCUAUCCCCUGAGCCAAACCGGUUAGGGCAUGGGUUUUAUUUUUUUCUGUUCUUUCUUGUUUCAAAAGUAAUUGGAGCAGAGCAGACAAUUUCUCCCAAUGGUGGAAGCAGUGUUCUGUUGCGGAUUUAUGAAAUCCGAGAGGACAGUGGGUCUGGGGCUUGUUUGGCAUUCUCUCCGGACGGCUCUGUGCCAUCGGGAUUUCUGGACCUGCCUGAUGGGGCGACCCUGCUGGCUCAGCUGGUCAAUGGGUCACCCCGCGAGCCUGAGGUCACAGGGCUUGUCUCCACCUGGGCCUGUUGCCCUCCUCCUUUGGACACAGAUGACACGUCCCCCCCCAGUAUACGGUGGUAUAGCGUGUGUACGUGCACAGUAUGUGUGUGCGUGCAUGUGUGUGUGCGUGCGUGUGUGUGUGUGCACGUGCACCCUUCACCCCGAGGGCCCCAUAAGUCACUGCAGAAGCUCUUACAGCCCAGAAGCCUGUCCCGCUGUAAUCGUCUGCGCCCUUCAUUUAAUUUGAUCUUGUGUUUGUUUCUCCUUGUAGGUAUAGCCUUUCCUACAUACCAUUCGCAAGGGAUGCUGUGAAGAAGUGCUUUUCUGCGUGUCUGGAGUAACGGACGGCCAGUUUCGCAAGGCUUUGGGCGGCGCUGCGGAAGGAAGCUGGCAGACACUUUGUAAAUACCUUCGAACCUCUCGCUCACGGAACCUGCCUUUCCCCCUGUGGCAGCGGGUUCCCGCGACCUGAACGUGUACGGAUGCUCUGGGAGGCAGCGCUGUGUCCCCAGCCCCAGUGUCUAGCACAGCAGGAGGGGUGGGCAUGUGCCUUCCGGAGAGGACUCUUCCUCACACCCUCCUGAACUCUCCGAAUUCUCAUAAACGAACACCGAGAGCAGCCACGGGAGCCAGGAUUGCCGGCUGGUGAGGCAGCCCCUCCCCCCAACCCCCCCACCCCCACCCCCGCCAGGGACGCAGGGUGCGGCGGCCAGGGACAGCGUUGGGCCCACAGGGACUUUAUAGACUUGUCCCUCAGCUCGGGGACCAUCACCCAGGCCCCACACAGUGUGUGCAUGCUUGUUCUCUGGGUCUGGGACCCCGUGACUGCCAGCCACCCUGGCCGCUGUGCCCCUGCAGAGCCUGUGGGGGGGAAGGGGGAGGGCAGGGAAGGAGCCCUCUGGUGACAGCGGUCUUUCUGAAUCUGAACGUCAGCCCUUGCAGAUUCCGCCCGGCUGGGAUGGGUCUGUAACAUCAGCGCACACCCUUUUCUCUUGGGUUUUCUAGCUUAUUUUCCUCAUGACCUCCUGGAACUAGAUCGAAAACAAAGCCCCCGAGAAAACACUGCUUUUCCUUUGGGACGAGAGCCGACAGGAGGGGAACGUGUUUGCUGUUCUCUGUAUUUUUUCUUUAUUCAUUUCCGUUCUGGAGUGGAGCCAGGGGGGAGAGGGUGGGAAGACAGCCCCAGGGGCCCUGACCUCCAGGCAUUCCCAGCGUUGGAGACGCUGGAGAAGGCGACCCGUGGGCUGCAGGCAGGCCCAGCUCAGCCGGAUGUCCACCCCCACGUGCUCGCGUGUCCCUGGUCUUGUCUGGUCCUCACAAGCCUCGUCGCUGAGCAGUUGAGGAAACCGAGGGUCAGAGAGGUUGCCAGUUCUACCCAAAGCUGCGGCUGGUGGCAGAGCCGAGCCCGAGCGGGCGCCCAGCCUCAGCCCCUCUCCGGACCCCGUGUUUCCCGGGGUGGCACAGGGGUGCUCCAGGGCCUGGGUCCCUGCUUCCCUCCGAGCCUGUGACCUCUCGGUCCCCAUCUCCAUCACUGUGGUGUCUCCGGCCCUGUCCCCUUUGGGAGGCGCCCUGACCGGUGGCCUCUCUGUUCUCUGUGUGUCCUUGAGCCCGUUGCCGCCUGACCAUCAGAACGUCCUGUCGGGGCCGCCGGAGUUCUUGGCAUUGAAGGACCUCCACCGGGCCUUUCUGUCCUUGCCCAGCUCCAGCCGCCCACUCGGGCUCGCGCUCACACCUCCACACCGAGGUGGUCCCCUGGCUGGGGCUGUUGCCGGACCCUCUGCCGCUGCGACCCAGACCGGCCAGCCUUUCCUUUUGCGCUGGGAGGUCUGAGCGGGCCUGGUGAGGCUGUGGUCCCUCACCCGCUUUCAGCCGGGAAGGGAGGUUGGAGAGUCCAGGUCUUGAUGGGCACUGCACUGCCUUUAAGAUGCACCAGGGUGUGUAGAUGGUGGUGAACUGGGCUUUGAGGUCAGACCUGUCUGGGUGUAAGUGCGGCUCUGCCACAUGCCACAUUGAACAAGUCACUUAACCCCUGGCCCUCAGAUCGCUCAUGUUUAACCAACGGGAGUAAAUAAUCCGCACCGGUAGUGGCAGGAGAGGGCCCAGCAUGGUGGUGGGGUCGCAGUAAACGAGGUAACGUUAUUUAACCCCAGAAAUCGCCGAUGGCCGUGGAAGGUGACAGGGUGCGUGUCUCUGGCCGUUAACUUUUCUAAAAGCAGUGCCCUGGUAAUACAUGUCUGCAUGGUAGGUGUUGCCAGGCGUGAUGUCAUUUAAUAUCCACAGCAACUCGCCGGUGGUGGUCUCAUCUCCAUUGUUCAAGGAGAGCGGCCUCGGUCUGGGCGGGUCCCACCAGGAAGGGGCCGCAGCUCUUGCAGAAAAGCUGCUUUGCCCUGACUCUGUGGCCAGUUUGCUCCGACUUCUCCAGUCAGGACACGUGGGCAGCGCGGGCGUGAGCCUGCCUUCCAGGACCUUCCAGAAGCCUAAGUUUCUCCUGCUGCUGCCCGUGCUUUGUCUGCUUCAGACUUGUUUUUGUGGGAGGAGGACAUCCAUUUCAAAUCUGCUGAACACCGUUACCAAGCAACUGCUGGUUUACAGCAACCUCGUGGGUGGCAGAGACGGGGAGUGAGGAAUUGGGGUUUCAGACCCGGGGCUGUCGGGGUCGUCCUGCUCCCCUGCCUUGCAUGCUCACUGCUGGGGGGAGAGACGAUUGCAUUUUGGGAGUGGAGGGAACCACCGAGGUGACACCUGCAGACGGGAUGCGCUCACCUGAGGUCACAGUUCAGCUGUGGGCAGCAGGACCCCCGCCCCUUCCUCCAUGGCCCUGCUCCCUGCGGCCGCUGUGCUGGGAGGUUGGGAGCAGCUGGCCAGCAAGCUCCUGGCCUCUCCACGCCCCUCAGAGCCUGCCUCCCACCUCCUGUCUCCCUCUCAAAGACGGUUCCCUCUGCCUCUAGUCUCGGCUCCUCGGCGUGGCUGUGCCCCGGCCACCGCUGCCCAGGCCCGCUGGCUCCUCGGCCCCCUCUCCCGGGCAGGCCGCCGCGUCUCUGGGAAGAGCAAAACUGCCCCCAGCUGAGCAUUGUCACGGUGCUUACCAGUGCGAGGAGCUUCUGUCACUGGUGGGGCGACUGUGGGCUGUUUACCCGCGUGACCCUCCCACCCCAGGCAGUGUGUGCUCUAAAUGCAAUGGAGAAGUGGGGCGUACCUUAAAGAGGGGUGUGAGGGGUGUGGGCAUGCUGCUCUGGCUGCGUCUGGCUUGGGGAGCGCCACAGGUGACAGCUGUUGCUGCGGGAGUGAUGAGACCACGUGGAAUGAGUUAGGAACGGCUGCAGUGCUGUGGCCGGGGACCCCUCUGUGGGGCAGCCUGGCCAGCCCUGUCCCCUCAGAUCACUGCUGCACAGCAAGUCAGUGAGCAGGCUCAUAGAGCCACGUGGCUAGAUUGCUGAUAUAGUUUUGACUUUAAAACCCAAGUAUUUUUUGAUGUACGAUGUGCAGUAGUUUCUUUGCAGAUGUUAUUUUUUAAAAAGCUAACAGACCUCCCUCUGAAGUUAAAUGCAGAUUUAUAUCCGUGUGUCUCUUGAUAAGACAUUAACAGAAGAAUUUAGAUUUAGAAGUCCAGAUCUUUUUGGAAGUCCUUAAAACAUUGGGAGGUUAAAUUAUGUGUUUAAAGUACCUUCUAACACAAAACUUGAUGAAAUUCUGAGAUCUUGAGGGUUUUAUUUGAGUAAAGAGGGAAGGUGCUGUGCAAGGUAUUUAAUCCCAGUUCACUCAAGAUACAGGGUGUCUAGUUCCCCUUUCGGCCGCUUUCCAGUUCUACUCCGAUGCCCGGGUGACCUCCGGCGUGCACCGGCACCGCUCCCGGAGCGCCCGCAGGCUCCUCGCUCCAGGGCCGGAGAGGCCCAGGAGGCCAGUGGGGGCAGCAGAGCCCGAGUACAUGGACAGAACACGAUUACCGCCCCCUAGCAGGAGCUGGCCAGCUGAUCAUGGCUCAGAAAUGCACGAAACAUCCUGUAGCUCGGACGAGCUAUGAGCAGGGAAGAGUGAGUCCAUGGGACAGGAGGGAUCGGCUCUUUGAAGCCAAAGGUUGGUCCAUAGCAUUGUGAUCAGCGAUUUCAGCCUUUUCAUCGCAUGGCACAAACUAACUGCUAAAAUUCUGCGGCACGCCAAAACACAUGUUUUUUGACAAUUUGACAAAAAAAAAAAGGAUAGGUGUAGUUUUGGUUCAUUCCCACUGGAUGACUGUUGUGUUGGCUGUUGUCAUUUUUAUUUGGCGAUCUAAGGGAGAAGAGGUCAGUGCCUGGACUAAACAGGUAUUGCAUGUUUUAAAAUUCUUUUGGCUCACUAGUUGAAAAUCGGUGUAAUAAACAAUACUAGUGUGCGCGUUCAUAACAAACUAGUGUCACUACAUCUAAUAAACAAAACCAAGAAAAUGUCACAGAUAAACGCUCCCUGAUGUGAACGGACUGAGCGUCCUGGGACCAUGCGGACGAGCCUGGGCAGGUGCGGCCGUGGCCGGACAUCCGUGCUGGCAGGAGGCAGUGAGGCUUACCGACUGGAAGUCUGGACGAACCUCGAGUUUGUGAAAUGUCCUACAGGAGAAUCACAGCUUACAGUUCAUCUUGCCUUUCUGCUAUGACACAUGUUUACUUUGCCUUCCGUAUAUUUGCUUGACUUAGCCACUUUGAACAAGGAAAGGAAACACACACACA